rnacentral:rRNA from 1 species
AGAGUUUGAUUCUGGCUCAGAUUGAACGCUGGCGGCAUGCUUUACACAUGCAAGUCGAACGGCAGCACGGGUGCUUGCACCUGGUGGCGAGUGGCGGACGGGUGAGUAAUACAUCGGAACGUAUCCUAAAGUGGGGGAUAACGCAUCGAAAGAUGUGCUAAUACCGCAUACACUCUGAGGAGGAAAGUAGGGGAUCGAAAGACCUUAUGCUUUUGGAGCGGCCGAUGUCUGAUUAGCUAGUUGGUAAGGUAAUGGCUUACCAAGGCAACGAUCAGUAGUUGGUCUGAGAGGACGACCAGCCACACUGGGACUGAGACACGGCCCAGACUCCUACGGGAGGCAGCAGUGGGGAAUUUUGGACAAUGGGCGCAAGCCUGAUCCAGCCAUGCCGCGUGAGUGAAGAAGGCCUUCGGGUUGUAAAGCUCUUUCGGUCGGGAAGAAAUCGUGUUCUCUAACAUAGGACAUGGAUGACGGUACCGGACUAAGAAGCACCGGCUAACUACGUGCCAGCCGCCGCGGUAA